ACUCUGGUCUGGUCUCUCUCCCUCUUAGAAAACCAGUCGAAGAAGAAGCGCCCAUCAAGAAGAAGCGCCCAUCCUCAGCGAGAGUACCCCGGAGGCCCCGACGCUGACCAUCGCCUGAGAAGAAGCACCCAUCCUCAGCAAGAGUACCCCCGAGGCCCCGACGCUGACCAUCGUCUGAGAAGAAGCGCCCAUCCUCGCCUGAGAGAAGAACCCAUACUCGCCGAUCGCCACCUGAGAAGAAAAACCCAGAUGUGCAUGAGCGGGGUGCCUCUUUCGUCCUCCCCUUUAGCCCAGAAAUCCUUAGAAGGUUUAUGAGAAUAAACGCCCAAAAAAAUACUCUGGGAGCUGACUACUCAGGUAGUGAUGGCAUGAAUUCUGGCUCAAUGAAUAUUAUCAGAGGUUUUUAAUCAAGUAAGGUUUAUAGGAAUCUUAUCAAUGGAAGUUGUUGAGAUUUUUAUUUAUAUAUUUUUAUUUUAAAGAUUUGUGCUUUUUUAUUUUUCUUUAUUAUUUUGUGUUUUUUUGUCAUUGCCAAUGAAUAUUAGAGUUAGGGACUUUUGAAGAUACACCAUUUUGAAGACUUUCCCAGCUUCCCUUUUCUUGGUUUGGUGUCUGUUUAAUUUGAAUACAUCUCUGAAGACUCACUACUCUGUUUCUAUGAAGCAUGUAUGACUCAAUAAGCCCAAGCCCAACCAAAAUGUCAUUAGCCUCUCUUUGACAAGAGCAAUUCUCUCUGUCUCUACCAUUAUUGAUUGAUCGUACAAUGGGAGAUCCGCUGCUGCUCCGUUGAUCUGUGAACUUGCUAUGGCGAUUCGCUCCGUCGAUCCGUGGACUUUCUCCGGCAACUUGCUCAAUCAACUUGCUUUGACUUUCUAUGGCCACUGCUGAGGCAGGAAGCAUGAAAAUGAGCAUCAUAACUCAGCUGUUCAUUUGUUUUCUCUGUACAUUUGUUUUCUUUUGAAGAGGAAGAUUAAGUCUUGAUAUAUAAGUCAUCUAGGAUUACAUGGAAGAUUACGAGAUUAAAGUUCCUUUCCAGUCUCUU